rnacentral:lncRNA from 1 species
UAGCACUUCUGAAAGAAGAGUUAGAUGUUAAUAGGUUAUGUUAUGCUUCCUUCAUUAACGGUUUAGAAUGAGAAAAUGAGACACAUCUAUGGAGAGGAGACUACGACCUUCAUUCCUUCCAGGGGAGGCUGACUGCAUCAUUCUGGGUGGUGAGCUUGGUGUUACUACAAUAAUUUAACAUCGAAGAGAAGCUCUCCAAGUGAUUCAAGGGCAUUCACACCUGUUCUUCCGAG